CUUUAUCUCUUUCUUUUAUUCUCUCUUUUAUUCUCAUCUACCCGAUCGGAAAUUCGGAAUCACAGCAGCACGCAGGAGUCAUGGCAUCUAAAAGCUCUAUGGAAUCUCUCAACUCAACAGGUCGACUCAACUCAGCAAGUUGUAUAUCCUCGCAUCUCAGCAGGUCGAUUCUCUCUCAACUCGUUUUAUUUUCGCAUAUCAAAUCUCUCUUUUAUAUUUAUGCUUGUCUUCACUUGUGUUAAUUAGGAGUUGGGGAUUUGGAAUUAGGGGUUUGGCGAUUUUGAUUUUUGAUAUUUUAAUUAGGGAUUUGUGAUGUGUUAAUUAGGGAUUUUUGAUAUUUUAUUAGGGAUUUGUAAUUUUCUUAGUAGCUGGCUCUCUGUGUUGAGUAUAGUAACCAGUAGGUGGUUUCUUCACCUAUACAUCCUCUCUGUUUGCUGAUUUAUAUAAUCUUUUUUGUGUUUUAUGAAGUUCAUGAACUCUGUGUCCCUGUUAUCUGUGUGAUUACAUACUCUAAUUAAUUUUAGGUUUUUUUUAGCGAAAGAAGCUUCCUUUAUGAAGUAAUUAGCCAAGAACUAUUAGCCAAGAAGCUGUUCACCCUGCUCUUGACUCUUUAGUUCACCAAUUCCUGUCAAGAUUAUUUCUUUUUAGAGUUGUGAUUACUACUCAGGUUUGACUUAAAUUUGUAGUCUUCAUAUUACUUCUACAGUAGCUAUUUACUUUUCCUCUUAACAUGUAUAUUCGAUUGGUUGACACUGACACAGCAUGGUCCAGCACACUCCAAAUUAUCUUUCAGCUUAGACGGCUUAAUUGAUAAGCUAUGUUUAAUUCGAUAUAUACUACUUUCAUUGCUGCCUCUGUUUAUUUGUCGGGAUGGACAAACAAAUUCGCAUUAGUACAAUGCAGAAAUUCUCAAAUUUACACUCCAAAUUUUCUUUUCAGGUGUCCUUUUGUUGGAACACUUCUGCUUCCUUUUACAUUUGGAAUUAGAAGUUUUUUGUGAAUUUCUGUGAUAAUCUUGCUACAUCAGAACAUGAUAUUUUCAAAUGAGAGAUAAAUUGUGUUAGAUAGGAAAAUACAAUUAAAAUGAACGUUAUCACAUGCUUAGAAUGAUAUACUUUACACCGCAUUUGUUGUAGUUGUAAAAUAGUUUACCCUCGCAUUUAUGCAUUCAUUGUCGUUUUAUACACUGCAAAUGUGAUCCUUACAUCACAUUAUUGUAUUUUAUGCAGGCUAGUACUAGCAGCGGUGGAAGGGGAUGGGGACAGGGAGGUAAGAUGUGAGUUCUGUACACUGAUAUCUUAGUGUUUUACGUUUAGUAUUUUAUGUUGGAGUUAUAGAUAUGUAAUUUAACAUACAUAUUUCUCUAUAGAUGCUUCAAAUAUAUUUUAAUAUUAACCCUAGCUAGGUGUCGCCCCCCUUCAUGGUUUUAUAGGUGACGUAAUUGUUUUGGUUUCUUGAGCACAAUAAUUUAUUCACUGGUUGAAUUCCAGAUGUUUUCGUGUAAAAAAUAUGGUUUACAUACAUGAACAUCUGCUAAUCUGGUUUAUGUGUUAGAAGAAGACUAGGAAAACAGUUUCUUGACUACUUUUAUUUGUGUAGGAAAAUGUUCCUGAAGUUCCGGUGGAGAAUGAUUUCUUGUUAAAUGGGGAGCUCGACGGGGAGGAUGUACAUUGAUUCAUUAUCCUCUGUGUCCAUAGUCAGUUAAAGUAUGUAUUAGUUAGACUUUGUUGGAUGGUUAUUUAUUAGCUUUAGCUUUAUGUAAUCUGUUGGUAUGUACUGUUUGAUUGAGAUCAAACAGGAGAUGAUGUAUAGGGUUGUCGGACAUGUUGUGUAAAAUGUUGUAUCUAUUUUUAUGCAGCUUUGAUUUAUUUAC
rnacentral:lncRNA from 1 species